UACGAAGGGUGCAAGCGUUACUCGGAAUUACUGGGCGUAAAGCGUGCGUAGGUGGUUCGUUAAGUCUGAUGUGAAAGCCCUGGGCUCAACCUGGGAAUGGCAUUGGAUACUGGCGAUCUAGAGUGCGGUAGAGGGCAGUGGAAUUCCCGGUGUAGCAGUGAAAUGCGUAGAGAUCGGGAGGAACAUCUGUGGCGAAGGCGACUGCCUGGACCAGCACUGACACUGAGGCACGAAAGCUAGGGGAGCAAACAGG
rnacentral:rRNA from 1 species